CUACGGGCGGCAGCAGUCGAGAAUCUUUUGCAAUGCGCGAAAGCGUGACAAUGCGACGCCGCGUGAGCGAUGAAGCCCUUCGGGGUGUAAAGCUCUGUCAGCCCGGAUGAAUAUUUAUUUUUUAAUAGGAAAUAGAAAUGACAGUACGGGCAGAGGAAGCCACGGCUAACUCCGUGCCAGCAGCCGCGGUAAUACGGAGGUGGCAAGCGUUGUUCGGAUUCAUUGGGCGUAAAGGGUAUGUAGGUUUCCUGAUGAGUCGAAUGUGAAAUCCCUUGGCUUAACCAAGGAACUGCAUUCGAUACUGUGAGGAUUGAGUAUGGAAGAGGAGAGUGGAAUUCCCGGUGUAAGGGUGAAAUCUGUAGAUAUCGGGAGGAACACCAGUGGCGAAAGCGGCUCUCUGGUCCAAUACUGACACUGAAAUACGAAAGCAAGGGGAGCAAACAGGAUUAGAUACCCCUGUAGUC
rnacentral:rRNA from 1 species